CCUACGGGUGGCAGCAGUGGGGAAUAUUGCACAAUGGGCGCAAGCCUGAUGCAGCCAUGCCGCGUGUGUGAAGAAGGCCUUCGGGUUGUAAAGCACUUUCAGCGGGGAGGAAGGCGUUAAGGUUAAUAACCUUGGCGAUUGACGUUACCCGCAGAAGAAGCACCGGCUAACUCCGUGCCAGCAGCCGCGGUAAUACGGAGGGUGCAAGCGUUAAUCGGAAUUACUGGGCGUAAAGCGCACGCAGGCGGUCUGUCAAGUCGGAUGUGAAAUCCCCGGGCUCAACCUGGGAACUGCAUUCGAAACUGGCAGGCUAGAGUCUUGUAGAGGGGGGUGGAAUUCCAGGUGUAGCGGUGAAAUGCGUAGAGAUCUGGAGGAAUACCGGUGGCGAAGGCGGCCCCCUGGACAAAGACUGACGCUCAGGUGCGAAAGCGUGGGGAGCAAACAGGAUUAGAUACCCUAGUAGUC
rnacentral:rRNA from 1 species